UAGACAUUAGGGGCAUGCAAAUUAAAACC
rnacentral:piRNA from 1 species